GUUUGGCGGCGAGGGCGUGCACUUCUCCCCUAGUAGGACGUCGCGACCCGUUGGGUGUCGGUCUACGGCCGCGGUGGUAGCCUGUCGUGAAUUUAUUCUCGUCAGACCCUGCGUGUUCUGGCCGACUGCCCGACGGUAUAUGAUUUUUGUAUAGGGUCGCUAACGUAAGCGUUCGGCCGGUCGCAAGCGUGUGCGGUUCUUUUGGCUGUCGGACCUGGUCCGGCACCGAUCCCGCUCGUGCUGUUGGUGGCCGUGUCCUCGGACAGACUCAUACAGGUCAGCGAUGCUAUUGCUUUGGGUACUUUCAGGACCCGUCUUGAAACACGGACCAAGGAGUCUAGCAUGUGCGCAAGUCAUUGGGAAUCACAAAACCUAAAGGCGUAAUGAAAGUGAAGGUUCGCUUAUGCGGACUGAGGGAUGAURGUUUGUGUUACGAUGCAUACUCG
rnacentral:rRNA from 1 species